rnacentral:rRNA from 1 species
GAUGAACGCUGGCGGCGUGCUUAACACAUGCAAGUCGAACGAUGAAGCCCAGCUUGCUGGGUGGAUUAGUGGCGAACGGGUGAGUAACACGUGAGUAACCUGCCCUUAACUCUGGGAUAAGCCUGGGAAACUGGGUCUAAUACCGGAUAGGAGCGCCUACCGCAUGGUGGGUGUUGGAAAGAUUUAUCGGUUUUGGAUGGACUCGCGGCCUAUCAGCUUGUUGGUGAGGUAAUGGCUCACCAAGGCGACGACGGGUAGCCGGCCUGAGAGGGUGACCGGCCACACUGGGACUGAGACACGGCCCAGACUCCUACGGGAGGCAGCAGUGGGGAAUAUUGCACAAUGGGCGAAAGCCUGAUGCAGCGACGCCGCGUGAGGGAUGACGGCCUUCGGGUUGUAAACCUCUUUCAGUAGGGAAGAAGCGAAAGGGACGGUACCUGCAGAAGAAGCACCGGCGAACUACGU